CAGGUGCUGCAAAAUGACAAUGUCUCCCCAUGUAAGCAAGCAGUUCCAUCAAGUAAUUCUGAAAGGCAAAGCCAACAGUCUGGCCAAGGAGAUAACAUGGAAAGGGAAGCUGGAGCGGAAACAACUGAUGGAAUGACAACGAUCUUCAGUAAGCUCUCGAGGACCAAGGAUGGACGGAUAGUCGACUUACUCUGUGAUAAUGGUGGUGCAGCAAAAGCUGUUAACAGUAGUAUUCUGAGAACGGACAAAGAUACUCAUGGUGUAAAAAAUCAUCACGAGAAACGGAUGGAGCAAAUGGAUUCAAGUUCUCAAAUAAAGAAUUUGUCAGGCUUAAACACCAGCCAGCAGCUGCAUAAAAUCAUUUCUAGCAUGAAUCUAGCUAAUUGCCAGCUGAAACAAGGAGGAAGCGUACCCAAGUAUGGAAUGAGCAGUGAAGCUGAAACUUCGGCUGACGAUAUAAUGAGAAAAAUCACAUGUGGUGAAAUGAUCAACAACAGGGAUGAGCAUCAACAGCAAAACCCGGUUGCAGAUACAAGAUGCACACAGUCGAUUCUAGGUGGAAGCUCAGUUAUGGCUGGAAGCAAAGAUUGUUCACAAGCUUCCUAUACUGGAAAUCUGAGGAAACUCUCUAGCGAUGAAUCGAUGCAGCCUCGUAGUAAAAAACUUAAGAGUGACGCAAUGCUCUCCGAUGGCAAUGGUCUAGAUGACAUAGCAGAUGAUUUCCUCGGUGAUCACAAUUCGAUCAGGAAGCUCGAGCAUCAGCAAAAGGACAUCCAUGGCACAAGUGUGGGUAUCCUCCAGCCAACUCAAGAAAAUUUCUCAAUGUCUGCCACCGGCGGAACAUUACCUUCCAGUCAUAAGAUGGUUUCAGUGGCUUCUGUACCAGAAUGGACUGAUGAGCAGCUUUCUAACUUUUUGAUGACUAUU
rnacentral:rRNA from 1 species